rnacentral:lncRNA from 1 species
UAUAAUUAAGUUUAAAUUUAAACUUUGAAUCUAAAAUUAAAAACUUGAAGUUUGAGUUCAAAAUCAGAAUCAAAUUUCAAAAAGUAAGUUUUACGUGCUUCUGAUUUUGGGUCUCAAAAAGUAAAAAACUGAUUCUAAAAGUCAGAAUCAGAUUCUAAAACCGGAAUAACCAAACACUCUAUCGAGCUAAAAAUCACUUUUGAAUCCAAAAUCACUUUUUUUUUUGGACCGACUAUCCCUAGAGCAAGUGGCAAAGUGCUUGAUGAUUUGUACCCGAGGUUUCAAGUUCGAAUCCUAGUUGAUUUACAUUUUCAGCUAAGUUUAAUAAAAUAAACGAAGCGAGUAGCGUGCUGCUACCCAUCUCUCAAAAAAAAAAAAAAAUCCAAAAUCACUUUUCAAAGGGUAAGCCAAACACCAACUAAAUAAGACA